rnacentral:rRNA from 1 species
CCUACGUGCGGCAGCAGUGGGGAAUAUUGCGCACUGGGCGAAAGCCUGACGCAGCGACGCCGCGUGAGGGAUGAAGGUCUUCGGAUCGUAAACCUCUGUCAGCAGGGAAGAACGGUCACUGUGCUAAUCAGCAGUGAAUUGACGGUACCUGCAAAGGAAGCACCGGCUAACUCCGUGCCAGCAGCCGCGGUAAUACGGAGGGUGCAAGCGUUAAUCGGAAUUACUGGGCGUAAAGCGCUCGUAGGCGGUAUGUCAAGUCAAGGGUGAAAUCCCCGCGCUCAACGUGGGAACUGCCUUUGAAACUGGCAAACUGGAGUGUGUGAGAGGAUAGUGGAAUUCCAGGUGUAGGAGUGAAAUCCGUAGAUAUCUGGAGGAACAUCAGUGGCGAAGGCGACUAUCUGGCACAUAACUGACGCUGAGGAGCGAAAGCGUGGGUAGCAAACAGGAUUAGAUACCCGGGUAGUC